CACGUAGGGGGCAAGCGUUGUCCGGAAUCAUUGGGCGUAAAGAGCUCGUAGGCGGCUCAGUAAGUCGGGUGUGAAACCCUCAGGCUCAACCUGGGGACGCCACCCGAUACUGCUGUGGCUAGAGUCCGGUAGGGGAGCGUGGAAUUCCUGGUGUAGCGGUGAAAUGCGCAGAUAUCAGGAGGAACACCAGCGGCGAAGGCGGCGCUCUGGGCCGGUACUGACACUGAGGAGCGAAAGCGUGGGUAGCAAACAGG
rnacentral:rRNA from 1 species